GAGUUUGAUCGUGGCUCAGAUUGAACGCUGGCGGCAUGCUUUACACAUGCAAGUCGAACGGCAGCAUGAUCUAGCUUGCUAGAUUGAUGGCGAGUGGCGAACGGGUGAGUAAUACAUCGGAACGUGCCCUGUAGUGGGGGAUAACUAGUCGAAAGAUUAGCUAAUACCGCAUACGACCUGAGGGUGAAAGUGGGGGACCGCAAGGCCUCAUGCUAUAGGAGCGGCCGAUGUCUGAUUAGCUAGUUGGUGGGGUAAAGGCCCACCAAGGCGACGAUCAGUAGCUGGUCUGAGAGGACGAUCAGCCACACUGGGACUGAGACACGGCCCAGACUCCUACGGGAGGCAGCAGUGGGGAAUUUUGGACAAUGGGCGAAAGCCUGAUCCAGCAAUGCCGCGUGUGUGAAGAAGGCCUCGGUGUAAG
rnacentral:rRNA from 1 species